rnacentral:misc_RNA from 1 species
GUUGAGUUAAGGCGAGACAAUUGAAUUGGGGAUUGUGGAGGUGAAGAGUUGAGUGCUAUGGGGGUGGUGAGUAAAGCAGGAGAUUGGGCAUUUAAAGCCUUCUCGGCGGGGCUGGGUGUUGCCACCGUUUUCUUCGCCGCUUCUUUCUCCGCCAAUGUCUACCGUGGUCUCUCUUGGCAUAAUCGACAAUCGAGGGUUGAGAAGGAAGGACCUAAAGUUCUGCAACAGCAAGAAUGACGGUUUGAGAAGUUCUACACUUCCACAUCGCGUUGCUAGCUGAGGUCAUGCUAUAGGUUCUGAAUCUUUUUAAAGUGAUGCAAUAACUUUAACACGAGUAUGGUUUACAUCCCGUCUUAACUGUUCCCGGCCAUAUAAUUGUGGAGAUGUAAUUCUGAGAUACCUUUUGGAUGAUGUUUGAAAUUCAUAUGCGUGAAUUGAAAUUAUAGAAUACACAUAGUAUUACUUUUCCUGGAAACUAAA